rnacentral:rRNA from 1 species
CAGCAGCCGCGGUAAUACGUAGGGGGCAAGCGUUAUCCGGAAUUAUUGGGCGUAAAGAGUGCGUAGGUGGUCUACUAAGCGCGAGGUGAAAGGCAAUGGCUCAACCAUUGUUAGCCUUGCGAACUGGCAGACUUGAGUGCAAGAGAGGAAAGCGGAAUUCCUAGUGUAGCGGUGAAAUGCGCAGAUAUUAGGAGGAACACCGGCGGCGAAGGCGGCUUUCUGGAUUGUAACUGACACUGAGGCACGAAAGCGUGGGUAGCAAACAGGAUUAGAUACCCCCGUAGUCCCUGUCUCUUAUACA